GGGUGAAAAGCAGGCAAUGCCUUUCAGGGCUGCCACGAUCCCUGUCUGGGAUUGGGGGAGGGGGAGGGGCAUUCUGGAUGUUUCUAUUCUUGGCAAGGAAGGCACCUCCAGGUCCUGAACCAUCAAAAGGCACUAACACAGUAACGCUACCGUUCUCGGGAAUGAAUGAUAUGUCUAAGCUAAGGAAUCUCCCAGCGGCGCAUGAUGAUGCGCAGGCGCUCAAGCUGUCUAAAGAAGUCGUGAUUGCCCGACCGGGUACCAACGUCCUUCACUAAGAAAACUCAAAACAUUUUAAACCUGGCAAGGAGCUCAAUAUCCUAGAGAGUAUUUUUGGCAAAGGAUGAAAAUGUAUAUAUCAAAGAAUGAAGCAUUGCUCUACCUUUUUUUCCUCGCUAAAGGAAUAAUAUGGCCAUAAAUACAAA